rnacentral:rRNA from 1 species
AACGAACGCUGGCGGCGUGCCUAACACAUGCAAGUCGAGCGAGAAAGUUCCCUUCGGGGAGCGAGUACAGCGGCGAACGGGUGAGUACAACGUAGGUAACCUACCCCCGAGACUGGGAUAACCUGUCGAAAGACGGGCUAAUACCGGAUAAGACCACGAGGGCUGCGGCCCUUGGGGUAAAAAGUAGGCCUCUGCUUGCAAGCUACUACUCGAGGAGGGGCCUGCGCGCCAUUAGCUAGUUGGUGGGGAAAGGCCCACCAAGGCGAAGAUGGCUAACUGGUCUGAGAGGAUGGCCAGUCACACUGGGACUGAGACACGGCCCAGACUCCUACGGGAGGCAGCAGUGGGGAAUAUUGCGCAAUGGGCGAAAGCCUGACGCAGCGACGCCGCGUGGGUGAUGAAGGCCU